CUUUGAGUCGUCCAAUGGUUAAGACACCAGAUUCUGAGUCUUCCGAAAGGGCCUUCUGGGGACCUGGGUUCGAUUCCCAGCUCGAAGU